rnacentral:lncRNA from 1 species
GGGAGCAAAAGCGUAAAUUUAUUUUUAAAUGAGGGGAAAAGCAUAAUUUUGAACUGAUGGUAAAAUCAUAAUUUUAAAACGGGAUAAAAUCGUAAAUUUGUUUGAUCAAUAGGGAAGUGUCAUGCAUGACUAUAAAUAUAAACGGGACAAAAUCGUAAUUUAGAAAAAAAAAAAUUUAAAUGAGGGGAAAAGCAUAAUUUUGAACUGAUGGUAAAAUCAUAAUUUUAAAACGGGAUAAAAUCGUAAAUUUGUUUGAUCAAUAGAGAAGUGUCAUGCAUGACUAUAAGUAUAAACGGGACAAAAUCGUAAUUUAGAAAAAAAAAAUUGGGUGGCAGGUGGCCGCCCAAGUCAACGAACCAAAUGAAAACACUGUUACAGGCGUUGGGUUUUGUUAUAGUAGAUAAAUAGUGAGUGUGUAGGCAUGUAGGCAGAAGUAAUAAUAUGUAUGUGUAGAUAGAAGUAUAUGUUUUAACAUGUCACCCAACACGACCUACAUGAGAGCUAUUUGCCAUUAAAAAAAUUGCACAAAAUCAUAAAAGUUUAUGGUCACACACUC